rnacentral:rRNA from 1 species
AGCGUACACGGUGGAUGCCCUGGCAGUCAGAGGCGAUGAAGGACGUGCUAAUCUGCGAUAAGCGUCGGUAAGGUGAUAUGAACCGUUAUAACCGGCGAUUUCCGAAUGGGGAAACCCAGUGUGUUUCGACACACUAUCAUUAACUGAAUCCAUAGGUUAAUGAGGCGAACCGGGGGAACUGAAACAUCUAAGUACCCCGAGGAAAAGAAAUCAACCGAGAUUCCCCCAGUAGCGGCGAGCGAACGGGGAGCAGCCCAGAGCCUGAAUCAGUGUGUGUGUUAGUGGAAGCGUCUGGAAAGGCGCGCGAUACAGGGUGACAGCCCCGUACACAAAAAUGCACAUGCUGUGAGCUCGAUGAGUAGGGCGGGACACGUGGUAUCCUGUCUGAAUAUGGGGGGACCAUCCUCCAAGGCUAAAUACUCCUGACUGACCGAUAGUGAACCAGUACCGUGAGGGAAAGGCGAAAAGAACCCCGGCGAGGGGAGUGAAAAAGAACCUGAAACCGUGUACGUACAAGCAGUGGGAGCACGCUUCGGCGUGUGACUGCGUACCUUUUGUAUAAUGGGUCAGCGACUUAUAUUCUGUAGCAAGGUUAACCGAAUAGGGGAGCCGAAGGGAAACCGAGUCUUAACUGGGCGUUAAGUUGCAGGGUAUAGACCCGAAACCCGGUGAUCUAGCCAUGGGCAGGUUGAAGGUUGGGUAACACUAACUGGAGGACCGAACCGACUAAUGUUGAAAAAUUAGCGGAUGACUUGUGGCUGGGGGUGAAAGGCCAAUCAAACCGGGAGAUAGCUGGUUCUCCCCGAAAGCUAUUUAGGUAGCGCCUCGUGAAUUCAUCUCCGGGGGUAGAGCACUGUUUCGGCAAGGGGGUCAUCCCGACUUACCAACCCGAUGCAAACUGCGAAUACCGGAGAAUGUUAUCACGGGAGACACACGGCGGGUGCUAACGUCCGUCGUGAAGAGGGAAACAACCCAGACCGCCAGCUAAGGUCCCAAAGUCAUGGUUAAGUGGGAAACGAUGUGGGAAGGCCCAGACAGCCAGGAUGUUGGCUUAGAAGCAGCCAUCAUUUAAAGAAAGCGUAAUAGCUCACUGGUCGAGUCGGCCUGCGCGGAAGAUGUAACGGGGCUAAACCAUGCACCGAAGCUGCGGCAGCGACACUGUGUGUUGUUGGGUAGGGGAGCGUUCUGUAAGCCUGUGAAGGUGUACUGUGAGGUAUGCUGGAGGUAUCAGAAGUGCGAAUGCUGACAUAAGUAACGAUAAAGCGGGUGAAAAGCCCGCUCGCCGGAAGACCAAGGGUUCCUGUCCAACGUUAAUCGGGGCAGGGUGAGUCGACCCCUAAGGCGAGGCCGAAAGGCGUAGUCGAUGGGAAACAGGUUAAUAUUCCUGUACUUGGUGUUACUGCGAAGGGGGGACGGAGAAGGCUAUGUUGGCCGGGCGACGGUUGUCCCGGUUUAAGCGUGUAGGCUGGUUUUCCAGGCAAAUCCGGAAAAUCAAGGCUGAGGCGUGAUGACGAGGCACUACGGUGCUGAAGCAACAAAUGCCCUGCUUCCAGGAAAAGCCUCUAAGCAUCAGGUAACAUCAAAUCGUACCCCAAACCGACACAGGUGGUCAGGUAGAGAAUACCAAGGCGCUUGAGAGAACUCGGGUGAAGGAACUAGGCAAAAUGGUGCCGUAACUUCGGGAGAAGGCACGCUGAUAUGUAGGUGAAGCGACUUGCUCGUGGAGCUGAAAUCAGUCGAAGAUACCAGCUGGCUGCAACUGUUUAUUAAAAACACAGCACUGUGCAAACACGAAAGUGGACGUAUACGGUGUGACGCCUGCCCGGUGCCGGAAGGUUAAUUGAUGGGGUUAGCGCAAGCGAAGCUCUUGAUCGAAGCCCCGGUAAACGGCGGCCGUAACUAUAACGGUCCUAAGGUAGCGAAAUUCCUUGUCGGGUAAGUUCCGACCUGCACGAAUGGCGUAAUGAUGGCCAGGCUGUCUCCACCCGAGACUCAGUGAAAUUGAACUCGCUGUGAAGAUGCAGUGUACCCGCGGCAAGACGGAAAGACCCCGUGAACCUUUACUAUAGCUUGACACUGAACAUUGAGCCUUGAUGUGUAGGAUAGGUGGGAGGCUUUGAAGUGUGGACGCCAGUCUGCAUGGAGCCGACCUUGAAAUACCACCCUUUAAUGUUUGAUGUUCUAACGUUGACCCGUAAUCCGGGUUGCGGACAGUGUCUGGUGGGUAGUUUGACUGGGGCGGUCUCCUCCUAAAGAGUAACGGAGGAGCACGAAGGUUGGCUAAUCCUGGUCGGACAUCAGGAGGUUAGUGCAAUGGCAUAAGCCAGCUUGACUGCGAGCGUGACGGCGCGAGCAGGUGCGAAAGCAGGUCAUAGUGAUCCGGUGGUUCUGAAUGGAAGGGCCAUCGCUCAACGGAUAAAAGGUACUCCGGGGAUAACAGGCUGAUACCGCCCAAGAGUUCAUAUCGACGGCGGUGUUUGGCACCUCGAUGUCGGCUCAUCACAUCCUGGGGCUGAAGUAGGUCCCAAGGGUAUGGCUGUUCGCCAUUUAAAGUGGUACGCGAGCUGGGUUUAGAACGUCGUGAGACAGUUCGGUCCCUAUCUGCCGUGGGCGCUGGAGAACUGAGGGGGGCUGCUCCUAGUACGAGAGGACCGGAGUGGACGCAUCACUGGUGUUCGGGUUGUCAUGCCAAUGGCACUGCCCGGUAGCUAAAUGCGGAAGAGAUAAGUGCUGAAAGCAUCUAAGCACGAAACUUGCCCCGAGAUGAGUUCUCCCUGACUCCUUGA